AAUCACAGAUAUAAAACUGAAAAGGGAAAACCUUUUUUUUUGUCAGCACCUAACUUCAUAAUUGGAAACUUAGAAUAUAAAACAUAAUUAAAAACUUUAAAAAAGAAGUAAAAAUUAUUUAUUGGUUGAACCUGUGGUUCAACCGGCAUCGGGUUCUGGGUUUUACUGGGUUUUUGCGGGUUUUUGCGGGUUUUUGCGGGUUUUUACGGGUUUCUAAAUAUUGGGUUUUUCACAAAAUCCAAACCGGAUUUUUUCUGGGUCACCGGGUUUAACGGUUCAACCGCGGGUCCGGGUCGGGUUUCAAAACAUAGUAGUUAUUGUGUAAUUUGAAAGAUUCACUUAACACACUUUCUUUUGUCAAAAAGACUCUUAUGACCAUAAACUAAAAAGAUUAUCUCUCCUCUUCUUAUUUCAUUUUAUUAUUUUUCUUAUUCUACUUUAUGUAGUUAUUUACUUUUAUCUCAAGUCCUAAAAUAUAUUAAACAAAAAUAAUUUUCAUAAUAAACUAUUUAUAAAAUUGUCUAUCUUUUAAGAUCUAUUUUCAUAUUUUAUAUAUAUAUAUAUAUUAAUGUGUAAACAAAAUGUGGAUAUGGACACGAAAGCUUAUAUAACAUAAUUAUAAAUUAGUUGUGGACAUGAACAUCUUAAUAUAAUUAAAAACUAGUUGUGGACGUGGACAAUAUUCAUUCGAUUCCAUUCAUCAUCUCGGGAUCUAAAUUCAACUCCAAUCAAAACUACAUUCAUCCACAUCAUGACAAAACGCAAAUUCCUUAGAUCAGAAAUCUCUAACAUUCAAGAUCUAUUACUCUCCGACAAAAGGUAAACGCUUCUUUGAUUUUUCUCUCCGUUCAUACUCACAAUAUCAUCUCUUUCUCAUCUUGAUUGAAGUUUAACUGCAGAUAAUUUAUCAAUUGAGCUGAAGAAGCUAAGUGUUUGUAUUGGAGAUAACAGAGUCCGUGUCCACGUUUUAUGGUAUAAUUUUAGUAAUACAAGUUCAUGUCAAUGUAUUGUUGUAUAGUUUUAUGGAAUCAAAACAGAGAGUUUGUCCACGUUAUCUACUAUAAACACAUUAACAUCACAUAUCCACACAUUAUUCAUCACUCAUCCACAUAUCACCCGUCCACAAAUCACCCAACCACACAUCACUCGUCCACAAAUCACUCAUCCACAAGUGUCCUUUUCAUUAAGGGCAAAAUUGUCCACAAUCUGUUGCUGGCCCACAACAAAGUGUGCACAUGUAAAAAGUGUCUUUAGAUGUAAUAGAAAGUCAAAAAGUGUCUCUUAGUGUAAUCAACUCUUUUUUCUUUAUUUUUUUUGGUGUUCCAAAACCAAAUUUUCUUUUCUUUUUUUACUAUUUAAGACACUUUUUAUCUUUCAAAUUACACAAUAAGUCACUUGUUGCUGGAGGCACACUUUCUGUUUGUGCAAUGUUCUAUAUGUCCUCAAUCUAACUAACUACGCUCUCUCCUAACCACAACCCUUCUUAACUAAGCUGUCACUUUCCCUUCUUUAAAAAAAAAUCGAUUAAUCAGUUUCUGAUUUUUGAGUUUUCAAAAACCAACCUGUAUUCUCUUUCCAACUUUACUUUUUCAGAUUCAGAUUUACUUUCCUCAAUUUGACGGUCCCUUCGUUUACUAACCCUAAUUCCGUGAACCCUCUUCUUCUUCAUCUUCAAUUUCUCCAUAGAACACCGUGAAACCAGAGGUCCUCCGCGAGUUUGAUUGUGUAAUCUCAUCUCCACAACUUGGGAACUCUCGAGAAUCCUCCACCGAGAUAUAUAUGUACGACAGUCUGGUUCUGUGGUUCUCCCUUGGACGAAUCUCUCUAUUGUGCUGUGUCUUGAUUGGAUUCAGCUUAGUUCCUACUGAUGAAACCAAUCUCCACAGCAAAGGUAAACAUUAAUUUGAUAUACGGCGCGUAAUUAUCGAAGUUCUCUCCUCAAAUACAUUCAAAAUUGAUUUGUUUUGUUUUGUUUUGUUUUUGGAAAUUUUGUUCAAUAACACAAACCAUAAACGAAAAGUUUGAGAUGAAAUCAUGAGGAAGUUGAAAAGUGGGGAGGAAAUCAAGAAGGAUUUGAGAGUUCGAGACAAACAAAAGGUGGACUGAGUUCGUUGAUUGUCUCUGUUUCUCGAAAUCGAGGAUCCUUGAGGAGAGUCUAAGAGGUCAUAAAGCUCGAGAGUUGAUGCUGACACCUAGUGGUGUUUGUCUUUCAUAUUUUGUCCUUUAGUUUGGUUUGAGUCGUUGCCUCAAGACCUUUGUUCUUUCUCUUAAGUAAUGAAAAUGUUUUCGUUUACAAAUUUUUAUCAACAGAUUCCAUCCAUGUCCACAAAUUUAAUCCAUGUUCAUGUCCACAUAUUCAUUUACUAUGUCCAUGUCCACAUAUUUGUUUUAUGUAAAUGUUAAUAAAUAUAUAUGAAAUGGAUGUUAAAAGAUAGAAAAUCUUAUAAAUAGGUUACUAUAAUAAUUCUAUUUAUUUUAUUUAUCUUACAAUUGAAAAUAAAAUCAAUUAAAAACAUUAGGUGGUAUAAACAGUAAUAAAAUAAAUAACCAAAAAAAAUUUUAAAAGAAAAAUAUCAUCCACUGACACAAGCAUUAACUCAGAUCCUAGUUAAUUUACUUUAUUAUCACAACCACAAGUCCAACUAGUUUAUUCUGCUUGGGAGGGCAAAAGAGUCUAUAAAUCGCCUAGGAAACAGAGAAAGUGCUCUUCAGGCACAAUGUGUCUUAUGAUGUAAAGAAAGUGACAAAAGUGCCUUAUAAGGUAACUCACUCAUUUUCUUUUCUUUUUUUAACACCAAAUCAUGCAUUUUAUUUUUCUCUUUUCAUUAAACAGUUAUUUUAUCACUCAACUAGGGGUUGGCCUAUUUUAUAUAAUUUUAAAUUAUAUUUUUAUGUUUGAUUUUUUAUUUAAAUAUACAGUGAUAUUGGUUAUACAAAUAUAUAAUGGUAGAUAAAUGAAAAUGUGAUGUUUAUUUAUUCAUGAUGAACGAACAAAAUUAUUUAUACUCAUAUUUUUGCAUUUUGUUAACUGGAAAUUGUAUUUAAGAAAGUUAAUUAAACUUUAGAUAUGAGCAAAAUAGUAUUUUAUCUUGUUCAUUCAUGUUUUUAUGGAAAAAAAAAUUAAUUUACAACUGAUUUUUAUUUUUAUUAGCUUUAAAAUAAUUUAACUAUCAUCUUACAAACCAAUAUAAAAAUUGAUUCUUUUUUGUUUAGUGAUAAAAUAGAUUCAUUGAUUUAACUAUAUUUAUGCGAUCUUGGUCUAAACAAAAGAAAAUCAAAUUUUAAGAUAUAUUGUUGCGCAGAAAAUAGUUAAGAAGAUGGUUAUGAUCAAAUGUUUGCAGAAUUAAGAAAACAUAAGUUUGGUGAACAUGAUUUUUUUUUGAAUUGAUGAUCGGUUUAAAGCGGCUAUUUCUCAAACCAAACUAGUGAUCAGUCAAAAGUAUUAAAAAUUAUAGAGAAAUAAAUCAUAGUGACUGAUAAAUGAAUACUAAUAAUUCAAGUUAUAUAUAUGAUGAAACUUUAUUGUUUACGAUUAUAUACAUAAGAAUAUGGAGUAACCAGUCAUUAAAAUAAUAUAACUGAGCAUAUACAAAGUGAAGAUUGACAAACAAAACACAAACUAAAGAUGUAUAAUGAUAUGAAAUAAAUUAAUGGA